UACGUAGGGUGCAAGCGUUGUCCGGAAUUAUUGGGCGUAAAGAGCUCGUAGGCGGUUUGUCACGUCUGCUGUGAAAUCCCGAGGCUCAACCUCGGGCCUGCAGUGGGUACGGGCAGACUGGAGUGCGGUAGGGGAGAAUGGAAUUCCUGGUGUAGCGGUGAAAUGCGCAGAUAUCAGGAGGAACACCGAUGGCGAAGGCAGGUCUCUGGGCCAUAACUGACGCUGAGAAGCGAAAGCAUGGGGAGCGAACAGG
rnacentral:rRNA from 1 species